GAUGAAGAACGUAGUGAAAUGCGAUACUUGGUGUGAAUUGCAGAAUCCCGUGAACCAUCGAGUCUUUGAACGCAAGUUGCGCCCGAAGCCAUUAGGCCGAGGGCACGCCUGCCUGGGCGUCACACGUCGUUGCCCCCCCAUCUACUCCUUCGGGAUUGCGGGGGGCGGAUGAUGGCCUCCCGUGCGCCUCGCCGCGCGGUUGGCAUAAAUGCCAAGUCCUCGGCGACGCACGCCACGACAAUCGGUGGUUGCGAAACCUCGGUUGCCCGUCGUGUGCGGUCGUCGCGCAUCGAGGGCUCGAAAAAAUUGCCGGGUUCCGGCUCGGCUUUCAACGCGACCCCAGGUCAGGCGGGGUUACCCGCUGAAUUUAAGCAUAUCAAUAAGCGGAGGA
rnacentral:misc_RNA from 1 species